CCGCGAGGCGCAAACUGCGAUAGCCUGCACGGUAGGCCCGCGUACUGCACGCCGGCGGACGAUGCCGCCUUUCACGCUACGGCCGCCGCCUGCACGUCCCCUCUACCUGCCGGCCGGCCGCCCACAUCUUCCCUGCUGUUCAACGAUUGGAGGCCGCACUUUCUUCAGGCAACCACCACGUGCGGCAGAGCACUAGAAGAGAGGCCGGAGGAGGGGAGAUCGAAGGGAGCAGUCAGGAGACGGAAGGAAAAGUAGGGAGGUGAUGCAGAGGGUGGGGUAUGAAGGGAAAGAGAUAAAUGGCAUGACGAGGAAAGACGAGUAGCACAAAUAUUUGAGCCAUCUACAGCUGGGGAUUGGAUUCUAACUCUACGAAAGGAACAAGUUUGCACAUGGCAACAAGUUUGUACAACAUACUGAGGUGGCUCUGUCUUCUUGAAAACAUAUUCUAGAUGUCACAGAUGAAGUCUUUGAGGAGCCACGAUCAUGAAAAAGACAUCAACAUCAAGGUCGGGUGGUUUAUCCACACCUCUUCCCCAGCAUGGAGAUGUUCCGGAUGCUGCCACACCACACAAAGCUGGUUUGCUCACUACUUUCUGCUGAUUUAGUCGGGUACGUAACAGGUCGAAUUUUAAUACAUACUAAUAUUUUUUGUUGAAAUUGGCUGUGUUGAAAAAGCACAACUGUUUUAUCUCAACCCCCUAUACUCAUUCUCAUAUUAUCUCUGUCUAUAAAAGAAUGUCUAAAUUCGGAUGUAUCUACACACUCUUUAGUGUAUAGAUACAUCUAAAUUUAGACAAACAUCCGAAAUCUUUUUAUGGACGGAGGGAGUAUUUCUCAUUCAUGAUUAACGUAUAUCUUCUACCAUUUUGCAAAUGCUCUCUUUACACGUAAAAGAAUCAGCUGUUUCAUCGGAUAAGUCCUGGCGCCAGGGACGCACACCUGCCCGGCCACUGUGAGGACGUCCACGUUGUCCAGCCAGUGGAGCACGGCCAGCAGGGCGUCGUGUGGCAGCUCCAUGCAGUCCCUAGUCGCCUCUUUCUCCUCCUCUGGCGGAAGGGCCUCCAGCUCCAGGAAGACCGAAGGCCUGGCCGUGGCCAUCGUGUCGUGUACUCCUGUCGUGUGCAGGAGGAGGCAGGCAGCGUGUACGGGAAUGAGCGAGCGACCGUCUCGUCUCUGGUGCCUCGACUGAAUUUAAGGUAAUCAACAUCGCAUUUUCCGAUCUGAUUUCCGGAAGAAACGUGACAGCCCAGGGCGGUGCCAGGCCUUCUGCGGCUAGCGCGCCGUGAACGACAACAUCCUUGUCUCCUCCCCGACGGUAUGUUGCCUUGUCGCGUUAAAAGCUUCAGUUUACUAGCCAGUCUGUUUCAAAUCAUAUAUUGCACUGUACAAAAUUUCUAUGAUCUGUCGCAGGGCGCCUCCGCUGAGGAGCCUUCGGAUCAUCUCCGGCGACAUGAUCGUCGACAAUAGGCUCAAGCUCACAGUCACAAAGUUCACUCUGCUGGAGGAGCUGGAGCUGUGCACGGGGACGUGCGAGGCCGUCGGCACCGCCUGCCCUCUCCUGAAGCGCCUCCGUCUGAACAGUAAACAGUUCUUCAAAUGGUACACUGAGAAUGUUGAGCGGGAAGCCAUGGGGAUCACCACCAUGCGACGGCCGGCUCCCGUCGCUCCAGCUCUUCGCGAAGCCUCAGUCUCAGCAACCACGGUCCAUCCUCGACGGGUGCGCGCGGCUGGAGUCUCUUGACGUCCACCACUGUUUCAGUGUGGCGAUGGGUGGUGACACGACCCGCACGCCGGAGUACGUCCACUGGGACGAGCUGGUCUGCUUUGGUGAAUAAACCUUGUUGUCUAGGCUUUUAGGUUACUAGUAAGUGUGCACCUGCAAGGCACGUCUCUUCUUGACAAUGAUGUGAACAAAUCUUCUCUACAGAUUUAACCAAGAAAAUAAGCCAUGGCAGAAGUCUGCGCAUGCACUCACUGAUCAUAUGCAGUUUCAGUUAAGCUCAGUUAGCCGGAUAACUGCUUGGCGCACAGAUUUUCAGUCAACUGGAUAUAUAAGCUAGGUAGGUGUAAGUCCACGCCCUGCACGAUUUGGUCGUUAGAUGGCACGAAUCGUAGGAUCGUCGUGAGCGUUUCGCCCAGGUCGUUAGUGGCCGUUUCCAUUGUAUCUGAAUAAAAUGAGAAAGCACAUAAUGUUUCAA